rnacentral:lncRNA from 1 species
UUAAAAUAAAGGUGUCUCAAUUUUUUAAGCAGCAAGAAAAUACUUGGAGAAUUAAAAGACAAUAUAUAUUAGCAUUAGAAGAAAACCUACAGAUGAUUCUAGUCUACCUUCCUUAUUUUAUCGAUGAAGAUGGUGAAAUUAGUAAUGACAGAUCCAAAGUGCAAGGUUCUUAGAAGUUUUUUAGUUUUUGGAUUCUCUCUCAACCAUAUACUUCUCUUAGAUUAAACCUUUUUUUUUCUCUAUGUAAAAGCACUGUAUCAUUUUCAAAUCAUGGUCAAUAGAUUUUUGGAUGAUUUCAUGUUGAAAAUUAUUGCUCUGUGUGACAAAGGGAAGCCUGCUUCCUCUAUCCCAAGAACAGUCUACUUGGUUUUUAGAAGGCAUUGUGAAUGUACAGCAUCCUUACUGCACGGCUGCAUGCACAAGGCCAAGCUGUCUCUGAAAGAAUUCCACACCUGACAGGAUGCUGGCCACACCUUUCUUGGCUCAGAGACAAAGCAAGGAAAUUGUGGAAGAUACUCACUGGCAUCUUGUCAUGCUUGAAUGAGCCAUUCAAAAUAAAGCUGCCGUCUAAUCGAAGUACCUGAAGUGCAAAAAUGUGAGAAGAAUUUAAUGAAGCAUAAAUUGUCAUUUGGUUGAAGAUACAGACCCCUUUACUGUAGCACAAUUAAAUACAACAUAAUGGAGGCUUCUGUUCAUGAAUCCCAAUCGCCUUCUGUUUUGCAGACAGGAAAACUACAAGAUCAAUUAAUGUCUUUAUUGUGGACUGUGGUGCAUGGAGAGUAAAUGUGUUCUCACCCUCUCUCUUUUCCCCAUCCUUCCCCCAACGAGGCACACAUUUUGUAUGUGUUUACAAUUAAGAAUUUGUCAUGUAUAAGACACUGUGUUCAAUGCUAGUGGGAAAUCUAAGAUUAAUCAAAUGGCCCCACUAUCUACAGAAAACAAUAGCCUUUAUCAAAUACCAACAGGCUGUUUUAUUUUUUUAAACAAAAAAGUUAUUAUGCAGCUCUCUAAGCUAAGACUGUGAAAGUCCCAGGCGUUGAAAUUUGGAGCAAAUAUAGUGGUUCAAUGAAAAAAAAAAUCAAGCUAUUUUAGGGAUAAUGAACUUUCCUGAUUGUGAACUAUGUUGAAUUUCUCAGUCGUACGAGUGAGUCCAUGGGGUAGCUAUGGGCAUGAAAGUGAGUGGUUUAAUAAUUGAGGGCAGAGGAAGCAGAGGGCUGUGGGAAGAUUAACAAGAGUCAAGUAUACGCACUCUCCACUUAUAAUUCUGCAGGAACCAGGAAGGAAAUGGGAAUGACAACUGGCUGAGAGAACAUCAAAGUCCAGGAAUGGAAAUGGCAGCUGGCUGAGAGGUCAGUCAGGUUCAGAAAAUGAGAUUAGCAACUAAGAGAUCUAAAAAUCUACGAAUAGCAUACUAAACAAUUUGCUCAUGCAUUCGUCAUUUUAGAAAAUAUUUCUUGAGCACCUAUGUAUGUAAAGUGCUUUGCAGGCCAGUCGCUAGGUAUAUAGGUAUAUAGUAUCUUCCUCAUGCCCCCUUAAAUCAAAUUUGUAAUUAAGUUCUGUCAAUUUUACUUUUGAAAUAUUUCAAAUGAUUAUUUAUUUCUCUCAUUCUUCACUUACAACAUUUUGGUACGAGACACUAUUACCUGCCAACAAGCCUACUUGGAAAAAUCUAGUUGGUCUUCCCGCAUCCACUCUCACCCCUUCCAAACUUCCCCCAUAUUGCAAAUGGGUAGAUUUUUAAAAUGUUAUUUUGAUCAAGUCACCAUUCAACCCCACCCCAAAUUCAUUCUAUUAAAUCCCAUUGCUCUGAGAAUGACGAUCAGAAUCACUUAGGUCGCAUAAAGCUAUACGGUCAGAAUCUUUCAGUUCUCCACCCCAUCUCAAACCACUAGCUGACUCCCUCUCCCUCUGCCAUCCAACUGCAUUAGCCUUUUAAAGUUCCUAAAGCAACUCUUGACCCAUUCAGCCUUCGUAUAUGCUGUUCAUGUCAUCUGGACCAAACCUCUUCCACUAACUUAGUUAAACCCUGAUAUUGUUUGCCUGUAUGCCCACCCAAAUCUCAUCUUGAAUUGUGGCUCCCGUAAUUCCCAUGUGGUGUGGGAGGUAAUUGAAUCAUGAGGGCAAUUUCUCCCAUACUGUUCUUGUGGUAGUGAAUAAGUCUUACGAGAUCUGAUGGUUUUAUAAGGGGAAACCCCCUUCACUUGGGUCGCAUUGUCUCUUGUCUGCCACCAUGUAAGAUGUGCCUUUUGCUUUCUGCCAUACUUGUGAGGCCUCCCCAGCCACGUGGAACUGUUAGUUCAUUAAACAUCUUUUUCUUUAUAAAUCACCCAAUCUCAGAUACGUCUUUAUCAGCAGCAUGAGAACAGACUAAUACAAACCCCAUUCAUUUUUCAGAUCUCAGAUUCAGGGAACCCUUUCCUGACUACCUCAGAGUAGGUCAGGUUGUUCUGUUGUAUGCCUUUGUAAGCUGAUAUGGCUUGGAUUUGUGUCGCUGCCCAAAUCUCAUGUCAAAUUGCAAUCCCCAAUGUUGGAGGAAGGGCCUGCCGGGAGGUGAUUUGAUCAUGGGGGCAGAUUUCCCCCUAGCCAUUCUUGUGAUAAUGAGUGAGUGUUCAUGAAAUCUAGUUGCUUAAAAGUGCAUAGCACUUUCCCCUUCACUUUCUUCCUCCUGUUCUAGCAAUGUAGGAUUCACCUGCCUCUCCUUUGCCUUCCGCCGUGAUUGUAAGUUUCCUGAGGCCUCCACAGCCAUGCUUCCUGAACAGCCUGCAAAACUAUAAGCCAAUUAAACUUCUUUUCUUUAAAAAUUACCUAGUCUCAGGUAGGUUUUUUUUAUAGCAAUGCAAGAAUAGACUAAUACAUAGGCAGAACACUUAUCUCUACUUGUAAUUUUUAAUUAUUUAUUGUGAGUAUUAGAAUAAUAUCUAUUUUCCCCAGAAGAGCGUUAACACCACAAGGGCAAAGACUGUGUUUGAUUUUGCUCACUUGCCUGUCCCAGCAGCACAGCACCUAGCACAGCACCUAACAUGUAGUAGGUAGUCUAUAAAUAUUUGUUGAGUAAUUGAGUAACAUAGCUGUAAAUGUGUGCUGUACAGCUCAGUGGAAUAAACAGUGGAAUAGACAUGAGCUAAGACAAUCCAUUAGGGCUAAAUUUCUGCCUCAAGAAAAGCAAUAUGCCUUUAGAACUUUUGGGUCCCCAAACCUGAAAUACUUAUUGGGGCAUCCCAUCAUAAACCAAAAACCAUUGCUUUUAAUCAUGAGUACUGAGUGGUUUUAAUCAUUCUAGGAAAUAUUUCCUGAAAUGUGCUGAGCAUAUUAUUGAUUUGAAUUUCUCAAGGGGAAAAAUAUUUUUUUCUUGGUAUUGACAUAAAUUUAGAAACCCAAUUUUUAAAUGAUUAACAAUGAUGAGUGAAGCAAGGAUGAUAUUUCUAUACCUACAAUUUUUCUAAAUAAGUCAAUGGCUCUCUAUUCCCUCAGUCUCAGUCGUGACCAUCUCUGCAUAAGCAAAACAGCCUGAUGACUUUAACUUCCACAGAUUCUCUCAACACAACAUCCAUCAAGCAUAUGACUUAAUUCAAUUAGUAUCUACUUUCAGCCAACCUGUAUUUUUUCUUUGAUUUGUGCAGAUCUUCAGUCAAAAUGUAACUAAGGUUAUUUUGCUAUAAUAAAGCUUAGUUAUCAAAAGAUUAGGCUAGGAUCAAGACUUGCUGAGAAGAGAGGAAAGUUAUUGCAUGCUGUUUAAAAAUUUUCAGGCCAUUGAUUUUAUUUGAAGAUACCAUUUAUCCUAAUAACAUGUAGAAAUGAAUAACUUUAAUGCACCUCAAGAAGCAUACACAGUGGUGUUAAAAUCAGUCUUGGUGAAUCAGAUUAUUUUUUGAGUUUACAAACUGUGUUUGCUAUUUUGAAUAAUGUUACAGUAAACUUUUAUAAGUGAUAUGCCUGGAGGGUGGAGUUAGGAGGGACUUUCUGGCUGGUUGUGGUGGCUCAUGCCUGUAAUCUCAGCACUCUGGAAGGCUGAGGCAGGCAGAUCGCUUGAGGUCAGAAGUUCAAGACCAGCCUGGGCAAAACCCCAUCUCUACAAAAAAAAAAAAAAAAAGAAGGACUCUCAAUAUCUAUGUAUCUGAGAUUUUUGUAAUUUUGUUUAAUUUGAAUUUUAAUAAUAAACAUGCAAUACUUUUGAAUUUAGCAAAAAGUAAUAAAAAGUUUUUAAAAGAA